GCUGUAGCUCAGUGGUAGAACAUCUGCCUUGCAUGCAGAAGGUCAUAAGUUCAAUCCCCGGCAUCUCCA